rnacentral:tRNA from 1 species
GGAGAGAUGGCUGAGAGGUCGAAGGCGCUCGACUGGAAAUCGAGUGUACGCCCCAAAAGGCGUACCGAGGGUUCGAAUCCCUCUCUCUCCGCCA